rnacentral:rRNA from 1 species
UACGUAGGGGGCGAGCGUUGUCCGGAUUUAUUGGGCGUAAAGAGCUCGUAGGCGGUUCGAUAAGUCGGACGUGAAAUCUCCACGCUCAACGUGGAGGGGCCGUUCGAUACUGUCGUGACUCGAGUCCGGUAGGGGAGUGUGGAAUUCCCGGUGUAGCGGUGAAAUGCGUAGAGAUCGGAAAGAACACCAACGGCGAAAGCACUCUGCUGGGCCGACACUGACACUGAGAGACGAAAGCUAGGGGAGCGAAUGGG